AGUGAACGCUGGCGGUAGGCCUAACACAUGCAAGUCGAACGGCAGCACAGUAAGAGCUUGCUCUUACGGGUGGCGAGUGGCGGACGGGUGAGGAAUACAUCGGAAUCUACUUUUUCGUGGGGGAUAACGUAGGGAAACUUACGCUAAUACCGCAUACGACCUACGGGUGAAAGCAGGGGAUCUUCGUACCUUGCGCGAUUGAAUGAGCCGAUGUCGGAUUAGCUAGUUGGCGGGGUAAAGGCCCACCAAGGCGACGAUCCGUAGCUGGUCUGAGAGGAUGAUCAGCCACACUGGAACUGAGACACGGUCCAGACUCCUACGGGAGGCAGCAGUAGGGAAUCUUGGACAAUGGGCGCAAGCCUGAUCCAGCCAUACCGCGUGGGUGAAGAAGGCCUUCGGGUUGUAAAGCCCUUUUGUUGGGAAAGAAAAGCAGCAGGUUAAUACCCCGCUGUUCUGACGGUACCCAAAGAAUAAGCACCGGCUAACUUCGUG
rnacentral:rRNA from 1 species